GACCGGUACCAUCAGAAGGAAGCACCCGGCUAACUACGUGCCAGCAGCCGCGGGUAAUACGUAGGGUGCGAGCGUUAAUCGGAAUUACUGGGCGUAAAGCGUGCGCAGGCGGUUAUGUAAGACAGAUGUGAAAUCCCCGGGCUCAACCUGGGAACUGCGUUUGUGACUGCAUAACUAGAGUACGGCAGAGGGAGGUGGAAUUCCGCGUGUAGCAGUGAAAUGCGUAGAGAUGCGGAGGAACACCGAUGGCGAAGGCAGCCUCCUGGGCCAGUACUGACGCUCAUGCACGAAAGCGUGGGGAGCAAAACAGGAUUAGAUACCCUGGUAGUCCACGCCCUAAACUAUGUCAACUAGUUGUCGGGUCUUAUUAGACUUGGUAACGUAGCUAACGCGUGAAGUUGACCGCCUGGGGAGUACGGUCGCAAGAUUAAAACUCAAAGGAAUUGACGGGGACCCGCACAAGCGGUGGAUUAUGUGGAUUAAUUCGAU
rnacentral:rRNA from 1 species